GGGUUGUGAGGUUAAGCGACUAAGCGUACACGGUGGAUGCCCUGGCAGUCAGAGGCGAUGAAGGACGUGCUAAUCUGCGAUAAGCGCCGGUAAGGUGAUAUGAACCGUUAUAACCGGCGAUUUCCGAAUGGGGAAACCCAGUGUGAUUCGUCACACUAUCAUUAACUGAAUCCAUAGGUUAAUGAGGCGAACCGGGGGAACUGAAACAUCUAAGUACCCCGAGGAAAAGAAAUCAACCGAGAUUCCCCCAGUAGCGGCGAGCGAACGGGGAGGAGCCCAGAGCCUGAAUCAGCAUGUGUGUUAGUGGAAGCGUCUGGAAAGGCGCGCGAUACAGGGUGACAGCCCCGUACACAAAAGCGCAUGUGCUGUGAGCUCGAUGAGUAGGGCGGGACACGUGGUAUCCUGUCUGAAUAUGGGGGGACCAUCCUCCAAGGCUAAAUACUCCUGACUGACCGAUAGUGAACCAGUACCGUGAGGGAAAGGCGAAAAGAACCCCGGCGAGGGGAGUGAAAAAGAACCUGAAACCGUGUACGUACAAGCAGUGGGAGCACCCUUCGGGGUGUGAUGCGUACCUUUUGUAUAAUGGGUCAGCGACUUAUAUUCUGUAGCAAGGUUAACCGUAUAGGGGAGCCGGAGGGAAACCGAGUCUUAACCGGGCGUUAAGUUGCAGGGUAUAGACCCGAAACCCGGUGAUCUAGCCAUGGGCAGGUUGAAGGUUGGGUAACACUAACUGGAGGACCGAACCGACUAAUGUUGAAAAAUUAGCGGAUGACCUGUGGCUGGGGGUGAAAGGCCAAUCAAACCGGGAGAUAGCUGGUUCUCCCCGAAAGCUAUUUAGGUAGCGCCUCGUGAAUUCAUCUCCGGGGGUAGAGCACUGUUUCGGCUAGGGGGCCAUCCCGGCUUACCAACCCGAUGCAAACUGCGAAUACCGGAGAAUGUUAUCACGGGAGACACACGGCGGGUGCUAACGUCCGUCGUGAAGAGGGAAACAACCCAGACCGCCAGCUAAGGUCCCAAAGUCAUGGUUAAGUGGGAAACGAUGUGGGAAGGCCCAGACAGCCAGGAUGUUGGCUUAGAAGCAGCCAUCAUUUAAAGAAAGCGUAAUAGCUCACUGGUCGAGUCGGCCUGCGCGGAAGAUGUAACGGGGCUAAACCAUGCACCGAAGCUGCGGCAGCGACGCUGAUGCGUUGUUGGGUAGGGGAGCGUUCUGUAAGCCUGCGAAGGUGACCUGUGAGGGUUGCUGGAGGUAUCAGAAGUGCGAAUGCUGACAUAAGUAACGAUAAAGCGGGUGAAAAGCCCGCUCGCCGGAAGACCAAGGGUUCCUGUCCAACGUUAAUCGGGGCAGGGUGAGUCGACCCCUAAGGCGAGGCCGAAAGGCGUAGUCGAUGGGAAACGGGUUAAUAUUCCCGUACUUGGUGUUACUGCGAAGGGGGGACGGAGAAGGCUAUGUUGGCCGGGCGACGGUUGUCCCGGUUUAAGCGUGUAGGUGUGUGUUCCAGGUAAAUCCGGUUCACUUUAACACUGAGGCGUGAUGACGAGGCACUACGGUGCUGAAGCAACAAAUGCCCUGCUUCCAGGAAAAGCCUCUAAGCAUCAGGUAACAUCAAAUCGUACCCCAAACCGACACAGGUGGUCAGGUAGAGAAUACCAAGGCGCUUGAGAGAACUCGGGUGAAGGAACUAGGCAAAAUGGUGCCGUAACUUCGGGAGAAGGCACGCUGACACGUAGGUGAAGUGAUUUACUCACGGAGCUGAAGUCAGUCGAAGAUACCAGCUGGCUGCAACUGUUUAUUAAAAACACAGCACUGUGCAAACACGAAAGUGGACGUAUACGGUGUGACGCCUGCCCGGUGCCGGAAGGUUAAUUGAUGGGGUCAGCGCAAGCGAAGCUCCUGAUCGAAGCCCCGGUAAACGGCGGCCGUAACUAUAACGGUCCUAAGGUAGCGAAAUUCCUUGUCGGGUAAGUUCCGACCUGCACGAAUGGCGUAAUGAUGGCCAGGCUGUCUCCACCCGAGACUCAGUGAAAUUGAACUCGCUGUGAAGAUGCAGUGUACCCGCGGCAAGACGGAAAGACCCCGUGAACCUUUACUAUAGCUUGACACUGAACAUUGAGCCUUGAUGUGUAGGAUAGGUGGGAGGCUUUGAAGUGUGGACGCCAGUCUGCAUGGAGCCGACCUUGAAAUACCACCCUUUAAUGUUUGAUGUUCUAACGUGGACCCGUAAUCCGGGUUGCGGACAGUGUCUGGUGGGUAGUUUGACUGGGGCGGUCUCCUCCUAAAGAGUAACGGAGGAGCACGAAGGUUGGCUAAUCCUGGUCGGACAUCAGGAGGUUAGUGCAAUGGCAUAAGCCAGCUUGACUGCGAGCGUGACGGCGCGAGCAGGUGCGAAAGCAGGUCAUAGUGAUCCGGUGGUUCUGAAUGGAAGGGCCAUCGCUCAACGGAUAAAAGGUACUCCGGGGAUAACAGGCUGAUACCGCCCAAGAGUUCAUAUCGACGGCGGUGUUUGGCACCUCGAUGUCGGCUCAUCACAUCCUGGGGCUGAAGUAGGUCCCAAGGGUAUGGCUGUUCGCCAUUUAAAGUGGUACGCGAGCUGGGUUUAGAACGUCGUGAGACAGUUCGGUCCCUAUCUGCCGUGGGCGCUGGAGAACUGAGGGGGGCUGCUCCUAGUACGAGAGGACCGGAGUGGACGCAUCACUGGUGUUCGGGUUGUCAUGCCAAUGGCACUGCCCGGUAGCUAAAUGCGGAAGAGAUAAGUGCUGAAAGCAUCUAAGCACGAAACUUGCCCCGAGAUGAGUUCUCCCUGAGACUUAGAGUCUCCUGAAGGAACGUUGAAGACGACGACGUUGAUAGGCCGGGUGUGUAAGCGCAGCGAUGCGUUGAGCUAACCGGUACUAAUGAACCGUGAGGCUUAACCUUACAACGCCGAAG
rnacentral:rRNA from 1 species